rnacentral:rRNA from 1 species
UAGGGAAUCUUCGGCAAUGGGACGAAAGUCUGACCGAGCAACGCCGCGUGAGUGAAGUAAGGUUUCGAAUCGUAAAACUCUGUUGGUAGAGAAGAACGUUGGUGAGAGUGGAAAGCUCAUCAAGUGACGGUAACUACCCAGAAAGGGACGGCUAACUACGUGCCAA